rnacentral:lncRNA from 1 species
UGGGGAAUAAGAGGAAGGAAUCAGAGUUGGAGUAGCUGAAGCUCCAACUAUAGAGGAAAAUGAUGAGGACAGUGAUUUUUGAAGAUGUAGAAAAAGGAGAGGAGGAGGACUCUGAUGACAACAUGGCUUGAGGAGAUGAGAUAGUGUCUACUAAUGGAUGUUAUUUGCAUUAGAGCAGGUGAUGGUGGACCAUCUAAGCUUCAUAUUGGACCUCAAACAAGAGCCAUGUCAAAGAAGAUACAAGAAGAAGAGGGAGCACUCACUACAUUACUUCUAUGGAGUAUUUUCUAUUAAACCUUUUCUUCUACAAAAACUAAAUAUGCUUGCUUGUUUUGUAGAUCAUCAAAGGGAAGAAUAAAGCAUCACUCAUGGCUAACACUUGCUAAGCAUGUUUUGCACAUGGAAAACACCAAGCUAGCCACACUUAUGCCAUUUUCCACGUGCAACAAAGAGGGUGACCGAGACUCACAUGUGGAGCACCAUUUCCAUGCCUUUUUCACGUGAUUUAACCAUGUAUAACUCAUGUAACACAUUUAGCACGUGAAACACACCUUUCACACUUCAUUUUCUGCACAUGUCCAAUUUUUAGCUUCCUUUGCACACCUCAUAGCUCUUCUUCUUCUUAUAAAAGAGGAGCACCACACUUGUAAUCUUCAACUUGAAUUGAAGUAAAGAAAUGCUGCCAAAUUUCAGCUUUCACUCUCAAGUUCACUCUUGUGCAAUGUUAUCUUGCCUAUCCUCUAGCUCCUUUCCCCUUAGGAAAGCUCUCUGAGUUAGAAUUCACCAAUACUCCAUCAUCAACCUCUCUUGGACCUUCAUUAAACACCUUGACUACACCUCAUCCAUCAUCAAGGCAUCCUUCAUCCGCUGCCCACAUCUGAACAAGUGAAGCUUCUCCAAACAUGAAUUCGGUGGAGGCUUCUAUCAUGUGGUAUUCAGAGCUAUGGUUGAUUCACGCUCCAGCUAAGUCACUUUGCAAUUCAUUCUCUGUUUUCCGUGUUGUUCUGUUAUACAAUUACUGUUCCAUUAAUUUUUUUUUUACUUUGCCUCUGAGUUUGAGUGAAGUAUUUUGUCGUUUACUUGUUUCUUAGUGUUUUCUUCACAUUUUAAUCGGUGCAUCUUGUGGUUUUCAUUCUAUUCAGCUUUUAAAAUUCAGAUUUCAGUUUGUCAAGUUUUGUGCUAUGAUUUCAGCAGUUUUGAUUUGUUAAUUGGUUUUCCAUUCAGCAAAUGUGUUUCUGUGAUUGAGUCAAUCCAGUGCAGUGAUAGCUCUUCAUUGAUCUUAAAAAGCAUCAAGACUUUGUCUAGAUUUGAUCACAUGAGCUUAGCAUUGAAGAAAAACACCAAUUCUGCAAAAAUUUCUG